rnacentral:rRNA from 1 species
UUGAACGCUGGCGGCAUGCCUAACACAUGCAAGUCGCACGCGAAAGGGGGCAACCCCGAGUAGAGUGGCGGACGGGUGCGUAAUACGCAGGAAUCUACCCACGAGUGGGGGACAACCCGGGGAAACCCGGGCUAAUACCGCAUAAGACCUAUGGGUGAAAGCGGGGGAUCGCAAGACCUCGCGCUGGUGGAUGAGCCUGCGUCCGAUUAGCUAGUUGGUAGGGUAAAGGCCUACCAAGGCAUCGAUCGGUAGCUGGUCUGAGAGGACGACCAGCCACACUGGGACUGAGACACGGCCCAGACUCCUACGGGAGGCAGCAGUGGGGAAUAUUGGACAAUGGGGGCAACCCUGAUCCAGCAAUGCCGCGUGUGUGAAGAAGGCCUUCGGGUUGUAAAGCACUUUCGAUGGGGACAAACGUGUCGGACCUAAUACGUCCGGCCUUGAUGGUACCCAGAGAAGAAGCACCGGCUAACUCUGU